AUUUUUAAAGGGGGACUCCAAACUGCUUGCCCCACACCGUCCCUUUUCAGCCUGAAGAAGCCAGAAAGAUUCUCUUCGCCCCCCCUUCCUUACAGCAGUAAGGAGUUCCCAAAUUAGAGGGGGGAAUAAAGCCAGAUUUUAAGUUAGGUAGUCAGUGUAGUUAGAUAAAUCGGGGUCUAAUACCGAGUGGAAUCUAAAAUGGAGGCCAUGCUGAAAAUGAUUCCAGGGAACGCAAAACAACU
rnacentral:lncRNA from 1 species